ACUCCUACGGGAGGCAGCAGUGGGGAAUUUUGGACAAUGGGGGCAACCCUGAUCCAGCAAUGCCGCGUGAGUGAAGAAGGCCCUCGGGUUGUAAAGCUCUUUUGUCAGGGAAGAAACGGUGGUUCCUAAUACGGGCUGCUAAUGACGGUACCUGAAGAAUAAGCACCGGCUAACUACGUGCCAGCAGCCGCGGUAAUACGUAGGGUGCAAGCGUUAAUCGGAAUUACUGGGCGUAAAGCGUGCGCAGGCGGUUAUAUAAGACAGAGGUGAAAUCCCCGGGCUCAACCUGGGAACUGCCUUUGUGACUGUAUGGCUAGAGUGUGUCAGAGGGGGGUAGAAUUCCACGUGUAGCAGUGAAAUGCGUAGAUAUGUGGAGGAAUACCGAUGGCGAAGGCAGCCCCCUGGGAUAACACUGACGCUCAUGCACGAAAGCGUGGGGAGCAAACAGGAUUAGAUACCCUGGUAGUCCACGCCCUAAACGAUGUCUACUAGUUGUCGGGACUUAAUUGUCUUGGUAACGCAGCUAACGCGUGAAGUAGACCGCCUGGGGAGUACGGUUCGCAAGAUUAUAACUCAAAGGAAUUGACGGGGACCCGCACAAGC
rnacentral:rRNA from 1 species